AAACACGCUACACAGACAGGUGUGACAAGUGUGUUGUAUUUCAAAGAACAUGGGCUGUAAAAAAUUAACUGUGUGUGUGCAUACUUGUGUAUCUGUCUGUGACUGUGUGUGUGUGUGUGUGUGUAUGGUUGUUUUGUCCAGGCCAGUGCCAGAAGGGCUAUUUCUGCCAGGGUGGAGCCCCAGGUCCAGCUCCUCAGAGCUCAGCCUCCUUCCCCGGGAAUGGGCCCUGCCCCGUGGGGCACUAUUGUCUCCCAGGAACCCUCUCCCCUCUGCCAUGUCCAGCAGGCAGCAUCCGAAACCACACCGGUAUCAACAUCACAUUUAUUCUGGCUGCGAUUUAACCAGCGCAGAUUAACAAGCCUUCUACUCCACUUCACUUUGAGGGUUACGUAUCCAACCCUGACAUCACAACCUCAGUGCACAUCUGGGAAUUGCAGGUUGUUAGUCUGUGUUGAUUGAGUCCCAGCUUUCCUUUGUGGUGUUUUUGUGUUAGCCACGUUAAGUGGAAACAAUGAAGCGGCGGACACACACACACACACACACACAUACCGUGCAUGGUUGCCCUGUAGUGGAGCAUGACACGUGUUCCUAAAAAUAAAACAGUGUUGCCUUUAUCCAGUCAACAGUGAUCAGAACGCUCCCUGGCUCUUGGCGGCUGAUCCGUCCUAUCUGAUCUGAAGAACACUGAAUUCAUGUGCAUGUCUUCUUCUUCCUGUUCUCCAACAGGUGGGUCGUCCAUAGACAGCUGCUUCCCUUGUCCCCCGGGACACUUCUGCUCCAGUGAGGGCCUGGCCUCACCCACGGGCCUCUGUGCACCUGGUUUCUACUGCCCAUUUGACUUCUCCUCCACCACGCCCUUUGCCUUCCUGUGCCCUAAGGGUCACUACUGUCCAGGCGGCUCUCCCCUGGCCCUGCCCUGCCCUACGGGGGAGUACCAGCCCAACCCAGGCUCUGAGUCCUGCAUCCCCUGCCGCCCAGGCUUCUACUGUGAAGAGGCCAUCGUGGGAGAGCCCAGGCCCUGUCCCCCUCAUUCCUACUGCCCAGCAGGCACAAUGGUUCCUCAGAAGUGCCCCAAUGGUACGUUCACCACCACUGACCUGGGGGGUCUACAGGACGAGAGGGAGUGUCUCCCCUGCCCCCCAGGGUGGUUCUGCAGGGCUGGUAAGAUCCAGGGCCGUUGUGCCGCCGGGUAUCUGUGUAUGUCGGGCAGCUCCGGGUUCACACCCCAGAGGCCCCAUUCCAACUGGAGUCACUGUGAAUGGGGAAUGCGGUGUGCUGGUCCGUGUCCCGCAGGAUUCUACUGCCCGGAAGGCACGGAGAAGGCAGAAGUCUGCCCUGACAACACCAUCAGGGUCUCUCCCGGAGGCGCCACCAUCGACGAUUGCCUUCCAUGUCCGCCACAGCAUUGGUGCAAGCGAGGUGACCCGGUCCUGCACCUGUGUCCCGCUGGCCACUACUGCGAUGGGCUGUCUGCUGGCGACUACGGUGAAGGGGGCGGACCCAGAGAAUGUCCGUCAUUCACCUACAGAUCCGCCCCCGGCGCCGGCAGCAGGGGGGACUGUCACCCCUGUCCCCCUGGAACCUACUGUACCUCUACAGGUCUAACAGACUACUCUGGCUACCCCUGUCCGCCUGGUUACUGGUGCAGCGGCACCGGUCCUCCCGUCCUGUGCCCAGCGGGCACCAUGAGGCCCCUGCCAGGGGCGGCAGCUCCCGGCCAAUGUGAGCCCUGUGUGGGGGGAACCUACUGCCCAGACCCCAGAUCCACCGGGCAGCCCAACGUCGCUGGCAUCCCGUGUAGGGCCUCGUAUCACUGUCCCCCAGGUGCGGUGUCAGAGAGGCUGUGUAAACCUGGCUUCUACUGUGGGCCCCAGACGGCGGUGCCUGACAUCUGUCCUGAAGGCUUCGUCUGCCCAGAGGGAUCACAGACCUACAACACACCGCAACAGGUGUAAGUAGGCCUCUGAAACAUGUCGCUGGCAGCCACUCUUAGGCACACUCACGGUGGUCUCCAACAUUUUAGAUCUCAGUCGGAUUCCGAAUCGUGAAUUUACGUUGCUGUGAAAACUGAUGAUUUUUU
rnacentral:lncRNA from 1 species